rnacentral:lncRNA from 1 species
AACAGACAACAUACAGUAUCGGUAUUUCAGUCAUUCAACCAAUAAUCAAUAAAACAGUAAAAUAUGCACACGAAACUAUAAAAUGAAAACAUCAAACCUCAUACUGCAUUUAAUACUGAAAAUUAGAUCAAACAAUAACAGACCAACAUUGUAUCAGACUCGGGCUCCAUUGGCAACCUCAAUCAAUUAUACAUCUAUAAAGUCUCAAAAUACCGUUUAAUUAUUUAUUAAGCUUUAAUACCGUGAUAGGAAAUAGGGUGAGGGGUCCUUACUCGUUUAGGGGUCCGAACACGGCUUCACAGUGCGCCUACAAGCUGUCCCCAAUUUUCCCUGAAUUUUUUUUCCGGGGAACUGAAACGCACU